UCACGCAUUAGAGUCAGUUUAUUUUGACCAUGGCUGAUCUCACGACGAGGCCGGAAGUAGUAAUUAAAUGACGUUUGUAACAGCCAACAUUAAGCACUUGUUUUUCCCUUUAACUCUCAAGAAAUUCUUCCCUUUCCUUCAACAACUGCGAUCGACGUUUUGCAUCAUCGACCCUGGAUGUCACGUGAGGCAUGUCUGUUAACCCAGAUAUUCCCACCCGACCUACAAAGACGAGUAGGGUGUCGUCACGCAAGGCAUGCUGGGAGACCGGCCUGACAAGUUAUUGCUGUGCAGCCAUCAGACAUCAUGGCGGCUAACUGCGUCUGGGCCCUCGUCCUGCUGAGAUGUCUGUUAGUUUCUGGGCAGACAUCUAGCCUAUGAUGUUGACAACGACCAACCAAAAAUCUGGAUUCGCCAGAGUAACAAGGCCGACCCAACCCAAUUUGUCAUCGACUGCUAUGACGGAUACAAC